UUCGGAUUUGACCCAACCUCUACGUAGGAAGAAGAAAAUGAUUAUCAAGGUAAAGACAAGACGCCUCUAUACGGUUGAUGAUGACAUUGCAAGUAAAGACCGUGACACAUGCAUAG